UAAGAGGUUGCCGUUCUUGCCGUUAGGGCUGCUCCGCGUCAGGUGGGCGGUAUCUCAGCGUCCAUAUGAGCCAGAAACAUCAUUACUGUGGUUGUCACAGUGGGGACAUGGGUCGCUGGACGUGCCUCACUCUGGAAGGAAGAAAGCUCGGGGUUAUGGUUCUGGCCUCGGCUUUUCCUGCUGCCUCUGCAGCCAUAAGUCUCUGGGACCUCUCUACCCUCUGUCUCCCAGAGGCCCCUGUGCUGCCUUCCCACAUUCUGGGGUCUCAGGUGCUGACCUUAUGAGGGAUCAGUCUGAAUUGGAGACACCCUGCCUUCGUGGCUUAUCUUCACAAAUAAGAAAUACUUGAAGCCAGGGAUGCCCAGACUGUCCUUUCGUCUUCUCAUACGUUGGUGGAAAGACUAUCUCCAGUGGACAGCAGAUACCUGGGGCUCAUUUUGCUGUUUUCAAAGUUCCUUUGUGAAAGGUUAUGGCCACAAAGAAGCAGGUAAGUACAAUGUGUGUGUGUGUGUGUGUGUGUGUGUGUGUGUAAAUUUACCAAGGCUGGAGAUGGGAUACUCUUUGUAAUUCCAGCACUUCGAAGGCAGAGUAUCACAGCUUGAAAUCCAACCUGGUUUGCCUGGUAAGUUCCAGGCCAAUCCGAACUACAGGGUUAGACUUGCCUCAAAAAUCCCUAAUUAAGUCUGCGAGAUAGGACAGGGCUGAGAAUACUUGCUAUGUUGGCAUAAUGACCUCAGUUUGAAUAGCCAGCACCUUUGUAAAUAGCCAGGCAUGGCUAAAUGUUUCUAUAACCCUAGCAUAGAGGUUGAUGGAGGAGACAGGUAGACUCUGAGAGCUUUCUGACCAGCCAGCCUAGCCAAAAUGAUGAGCUUUUCUUUCAGUGGGAAAUUAUGUCAAGCCAUAGAUGGAUAGCAGCAGAGGAAGACACCGGGCAUCCUGUUUGCCCUCUACACACAUGCGGAUGACAGUGUAUCCACAUAUGCCCAUGUGUGAUACAUACAGUGUCCCCCACCCUCCUACGACACACCUUCUGGAAAGUGCGUUUUCUUUCUUCCAAGCUCUGGAAGAGAGACUGGAAUGGAGCUUCUGGGAGAGUCAAAACUGUACUGCGAGUUUGUGUCAUUGUGUGUUCAUCACACAGGGCAGGAAUAAAAGCAUAGUGUGGUGGAUUAAAUAAUGCCUCCUGUGGGCUCAGACAGUUGAAAUGUUGGUAGAACAGUUUGCAAAGGAGUAGGAAAUGUGAUCUUGUUGGAGGAGCUGUGCCAGUGUUGGUUGAGGUUUCUAAAGCCGGUACCAUUUCCAGGGAGUUCUCUCUCGCUGCUUCUUAGGAAUCAAAUAUAAGCUCUUGGCUACCGCACCAACGCCAUGCCUGCUGCCAUACUAUACACGGAACACCAUGAGCCCCAGACUGAAUGGUUCUUCACUAAGUCGCCUCCAUCACGGCAUUUAAUCUCAGCAAUAGAAAACUAAGACAGGACUUUUUUUUUUUAUGCAGCAUUUCUUUUUUUUUUUAAUUAGGUAUUUUCCUAGUUUACAUUUUCAAUGCUAUCCCAAAAGUCUGCCAUACCC
rnacentral:lncRNA from 1 species